AGUCCUCAGGCAUAAACCUGAAAACAAAAUAUCAAUGGUCGUCUUUUCUUAUUCUACCUCGGAUUGACCGAAUUUCGUUUGUUUACCCAUUUUUUUCUGGCUCUAUGCUUUAGUUAUUGCUAUAUAUGAUGGUGGGGUGGCGUACGGUUUAAUCACGCUUUCUACUUUUUUAAACUCCCACCUCACUGUUCACCCUGCUCUUCCUUUGUGGAACUACCUAGCAUUAUUGCUUUGUCUGAGUUUAGGUGGGACAUGCUGCCGAUUUUAAUGUUUGAUUUCUAGUGAUGCUGAACUCUCUUAUAGCUCAGUUUUAAGUCAUCUUGUACUUUAAGGCGAUGGUCGCUGACUCGUGGUUUAUUAAUUGGAGGUGGAAUUCACGAAAAGUCUCUGCAGAGACUGAUAAGGAAGCAAUUGGAGUAUUGGCAUAUGAAGUUGCAGGCUUGAUGUCCAAGGUCGUUAAUUUAUGGAACUAUUUGAAUGAUAGAGAGAUCCAUAGGUUGAGGGAAGAGAUUGUCAACUCAGUUGGAGUUAAAAGGCUUGUAGCUGAGGAUCAUGAUUGCCUGAUGGAUCUUGCACUAAAUGAGAUACUGGAGAAUUUCAGGCUAAUUGCAAGAUCUGUGGCUCGGCUUGGGAGGAAGUGCAAAGACCCUCCUUUCCUCCUAUUUGAACGUUUUGUUAAUGACCCGGUUGGGAAUGAUCUUGAGUGGUUUGGGUGGCAAUAUAGAUUAAAGAAGAUGGAGAGGAAAGUUAAAAAAAUGGAGAAAUUUGUUGCAGUUACAAUGCAAUUGUCUCAGGAGCUGGAAGUUCUUGCAGAACUUGAACAAACUCUUAGGAGACUGCGGGCCAAUGCUGACUUAGAUCGUGUGAAAUUGCUCCAAUUUCAGAAGAAAGUAAUGUGGCAGCGACAGGAAGUUAGAAAUCUGCGGGAUAUGUCACCAUGGAUUAGAACCUAUGAUUAUGUUGUCCGUCUUUUGGCAAGAUCACUUUUAACUAUACUUGAGAGAAUCAAGCAUGUUUUUGAGAUCAAUCAACUACCAUCUGCUCAGGGAAACAGCAAUUGCAAACAGAGGAAUCCUGAUUGUCUUCCUCAGACCCGUUCCUUUUCUGUUUUAAUGCAAUCUUCUAUACUUCCUUCAGAGGAUAUUCUACAUGGGUUCUCUUCAGUACCUACAGGAACAUCAGGUUCGACUUCAGGACUGGCUGCUGAGAAGUAUAAAAUAAGCAAUCAGCAGCUUCAACCUCAUCAUCAGUCAUCCAGCCUACAUGGAAAGCAGUCUCGCUUGAAAACAAAAAGAUUGUCUCAUGUUGGCUCUUUUAAGGAAUGCAUGAUGAGUGGAAGUGAUUCUCCUAUUUUGCUGACCUGCAAUUCUGUUGUUGGUGGUUCUUUGAGGCUCACAAGUGACUAUAUGAAAAAAGUUGAUCUAAUGGAAAAAUCAAAUAUGGAAUCUCUUUCACGCAGCAACCGAUUUUAUUCUAAAUUAGCUCUAUUCAAUUCAAAGCAGGGGUUGUUGAAAGCCCCCUCAUCCACUCUUGGUGCUGCUGCUUUAGCUCUCCAUUAUGCAAAUUUGAUCAUAUUAAUUGAUAAGGUAGCUUCAUCGACUCAUAUGAUUGACUUUGAAACAAGAGAUGACCUGUAUGGCAUGUUACCCACAACUAUAAGAUCUGCUCUGAAGGCUAGGCUCAAGGCACAUGCCAAAUCUCUUGCUCCAUUUGUAUAUGAUGCUUCACUUGCAGCAGAGUGGAACCUGGCUUUGUCACAGAUAUUGGAAUGGCUGUCUCCACUGGCUCAUAACAUGAUAAGAUGGCAGUCCAAGCAAAACUUUGAGAGGGCACAUGAGAUUUCCAGCACAAAUGUACUCCUGUUUCAGACCCUCCAUUUUGCGGAUCAAGCAAAGACUGAGGCUGCAAUAACAGAACUUCUUGUUGGUCUGAACUACAUCUGGCACGGAGAACAUGAUGAAAAAGCCUUGCCAGAGAUUCCGGGCUGCAGAGCUAGUUCCUUUUAUGAGCCAAAAAGGGAUCAUCAUGCAUAUUAUAUGGCACAGGAUUGAACAGGUUCUCAUAGGUCUCAAAUGAUGAGGUGACCAGGUUCAUGAAAUGAUUUGGAUUGGGCCACCAGACCAUACUCCCAUAAAGCAACUUCUUAAUGCUGCAUCCUCACAUUGUUAAGGAACACUAGUUAUGGAGAACAUGAGCAGCAGCAAGUAAUUAAAAACAGUCAGUAGAGAAAACUCCUUAGCUGUCAUAUAAUCCCCGCAUCUGUUUCUUAUUGAUAUUAUUGCUGAAGACAUUUAUUCAAAACACGCAUUCCACACGCAAAUGACCUCGGUACCCAACUUGCAGAAACUCAUUUGACAUUUAUCAUUCUCCCUAUCUGCUUUGGUUUAGCUUUUAAGGGUUUGAGCUUUUGCACUGUUAGUCCCAUCCUCUCAUUCACGUCUAUGGUCCCUGGAGCAUAAUCGCUGCCAAGCUCCCAGUCAAAACAGUGCUGCAGAGAGGCUAGACCAAGGAGAACUACCCUAUGAGCUAAUAACAUGCCCACACAAAUUCAUCUCCCAGAUCCAAAUGGAAUAAACUCAAAAUUCUGUCCCCUGUACUCAAUGUUUGAUCCUAGAAAUCUCUCAGGCUUGAAAGACAUGGGAUCCUCCCAAGAAUCUGGGUCUCUCCCAAUACCCUAUGCUUUCGCAAAAGCUUGUGUAUCUUUGGGUAUUAGGUGCCCCAUGAAGUUUGUAUCUUCUAAAGUAUUUGGUGGAAGCAGCAAAGGAAUGACUGGAUGUAACCUUAGUGUUUCCUUAACCACUGGCUGCAAAUAUGGAAGUUGAUCUAUGUCGCUUUCCUCAACCUUUCAUUUGGGUCCAACAACUUGAUGAAGCUCUUCUGUAGCUCAUCCCAUCACCAUAGGGUUGCGCAAUAGCUCUGUCAUGGCCCAUUCCAUCGCGGUGCUUGUAGUUUCUGAUCCACCAAAAGACAUUUCCUGCACCAUUGAGUAAGAACUUUGAAUUAAAUGUAGUUAACAAAUGUUUAUGAUAUAUACUUCACAGAAGCUUGAUGAAAAUUUUGGUUUGAUAUGUGUAAUCUGCAUUUAAGGCAUCGUGUUUACCAGUAUGAUAAUUAGUCUAUUUUGAUCUGAGAUCACAUCAGGCCCAUCUUUUUCGUCACCUUCAUGCUCCAAUAGUGCAUCUAGGAAGUCGUUUUUUCUUUUUUCUCCCUGACUUCCACUCCUCUGUCCUCUCCUUCACAAAUUUCUCCACUAUCCUCAUGGUUUGUCCCAUGUCCUGCACCAUGUUCCUCAUGAUCCCCUGACGAUCCAGCCAUUUCAAAAAUGUUAAGAAUUCUGCCACAUUUCGUGUCCCAGCCCACUUCAUGACAUUGUUCAUGGCAUCAUAGAAUUCAUGGCCAUCUUUUGACCGAGGGUUCACAAGAUCCCGUGACAGCACAAGAUUGCCAAUUAGAUUGAAGGUCAUAAGGAAGAGGUAGUGGGCGCCCUUGAUUUCCCCCGACUCUCCCUGUGCUUGUGCUUCUGCAACAUCCUCUUCAAUAUACCUUAUCAUGUCAUCAGUGCACUUCUGUCGGAGGACAGCUGUCUGGUCGAUUUGCUUGGUUAUCAAUUUAUCAUGAGCUUUGUUGAGCAGAGACGCUGGAGCAUGCGCCAGUUUGGGCCAUACCAACCUAGUGCCAGUGAUCCUUGGUAGUAAUUAUGAGCUGUAAACACAAGAAGGACUUUGCGAUCGCUGAAAGCAAGGUCAUGAUUCUUGAAUAAUCCUGCAGCAGUCUCGGCGGACUGUAUCACCAAGGUGUUUGUGUAUCCAAGUUUUAGCCAAAUUACAGGACCAUACUUUUCUUUGAGCUUGUACAAUGUCUGGUGUGGAAUGGCUCCGAGGUCAAAGAUGUUACCAAAGACUGGCCAUGCCGGGGGCCCCGGUUGUUGUUGUUUGGUAUCAACUCACGAUUUUCUCUGUUUCAGCGGAGAAAAGAACCUACCCGGCAAGUAAAUUCCAGGCGCUCUCCAUUUUCUGUGUUUAGUUUUCUUCUUUGUUCCCCUAAUUUAUAUGCAAAAAACUUUUUGUUUCCAUAUCAUCAAAAGAUUUGGUGGUCCAAUUACUUGGAUUGUCCUAUGAUCAUGGGAACUUAUAUUAAGGUUUCUUCUAUUUGCUAUUGUAAAUUGAAAUAUGGUAUUCACAUUAAUCAUUUGUUUGAGGGUGUCUUCUGA